GCCUCUAUAGCUCAGUGGUAGAGCGUCUCACUAUUAACGAGAAGGUCCAUAGUUCGACUCUAUGUUGAGGCC